ACGUAGGGUGCAAGCGUUAAUCGGAAUUACUGGGCGUAAAGCGUGCGCAGGCGGUUGUGCAAGACAGGUGUGAAAUCCCCGGGCUUAACCUGGGAACUGCACUUAUGACUGCACAGCUGGAGUGCGGCAGAGGGGGAUGGGAUUCCGCGUGUAGCAGUGAAAUGCGUAGAGAUGCGGAGGAACACCGAUGGCGAAGGCAGCCCCCUGGGCCAA
rnacentral:rRNA from 1 species